rnacentral:tRNA from 2 species
CGGAGCUGCACUGGUCCUUCGGGUAUCCGCUGGUGAUGGCAGUGAUGGCAACGGCCUGUCUGGUGCUGUACCGGGGGUUCCGGC